CUACACGGGUAUCUAAUCCUGUUUGCUCCCCUAGCUUUCGCAGCUCAGCGUUAGUAAUGGCCCAGAGACCUGCUUUCGCCAUAGGUAUUCCUCCUGAUAUCUACGCAUUUCACCGCUACACCAGGAAUUCCAGUCUCCCCUACCAUACUCGAGUCCGGUAGUUUCCCUUGACCUCUCCCAGUUGAGCCGGGAGCUUUCACAAAAGACUUACCGAACCGCCUACCUGCGCUUUACGCCUAGUGAUUCCGAGUAUCGCUUGCCACCUACGUAUUACCGCGGCUGCUGGCAC
rnacentral:rRNA from 1 species